AGAUAUUUAUUGGGGACCUCCCAUGUCAGCUGGAGCGAAGCAGAAAGGUCCCUGUCCUGGUGGAUCUUCCAGUCAAGAUGCGGAAACUGAGGCUCCGAGAGGCCGUCUCACGCAUCCCGGGUCACGCAGCCCUGAAAGGAGGGAGGCAAGAUUGAAAUCAAGUCGCGUCUUCCACCAAAGUCGGAGAUUUCCCCUUUGCCAGCCAGUUAAUUUAGAUUUCUGCACUUUGCCUGGAGCAUUUCACGUGGUUGUAUUGAUUUUAUAUAGUUAGAUGUUUAGAUAGACACAGAAAGAGAUAGCCAGGGAUAAAGAUACAGAUGGUAUCUGGGCACCGUGGAUAAUUCAGUCCGGUGUAGAAUUCAGUGUGUGGGCGUUAUCCUUCCCCCAAAUCUCCAUCAGCCCUCCCAAUUCUUUCCUUUUAAUUUUUAGGUAGGAAAAGUCUCAAAUGUUGAAAAUAAUGUAACAGAGACCCCAGUAGAUAUUAAAAUUUUAUCAUAUUUGUU